UACGUAGGGUGCGAGCGUUAAUCGGAAUUACUGGGCGUAAAGCGUGCGCAGGCGGUUCUCCAAGUCCGUUGUGAAAGCCCCGGGCUCAACCUGGGAAUGGCAGUGGAAGCUAGGGGACUGGAAUCUGGCAGAGGGGGGUGGAAUGCCGCGUGUAGCAGUGAAAUUCGUAGAUAUUCGCAAGAACACCAGUGGCGAAGGCGGCUCACUGGCCCGAUACUGACGCUGAGGCACGAAAGCGUGGGGAGCAAACAGG
rnacentral:rRNA from 1 species